rnacentral:rRNA from 1 species
GUUGAAAGACGGACUAAUACCCAAUAUAAUCCUUUGAUGGCAUCUGACGAGGAUGAAAGAUUUAUCGGUAUUGGAUGGGGAUGCGUCUGAUUAGCUUGUUGGUGAGGUAACGGCUCACCAAGGCUUCGAUCAGUAGGGGUUCUGAGAGGAAGGUCCCCCACAUUGGAACUGAGACACGGUCCAAACUCCUACGGGAGGCAGCAGGC